GAUGAACGCUGGCGGCGUGCCUAAUACAUGCAAGUCGAGCGGACGGACGAGAAGCUUGCUUCUCUGAUGUUAGCGGCGGACGGGUGAGUAACACGUGGAUAACCUACCUAUAAGACUGGGAUAACUUCGGGAAACCGGAUCUAAUACCGGAUGAUAUUUUGAACCGCAUGGUUCAAAAGUGAAAGACGGUCUUGCUGUCACUUAUAGAUGGAUCCGCGCUGCAUGAGCUAGUUGGUAAGGUAACGGCUUACCAAGGCAACGAUGCAUAGCCGACCUGAGAGGGGGAUCGGCCAAACUGGAACUGAAAAACGGUCCAGACUCCUACGGGAGGCAGCAGUAGGGAAUCAUCCGCAAUGGGCGAAAGCCUGACGGAGCAAAGCCGCGUGAGUGAUGAAGGUCUUCGGAUCGUAAAACUCUGCUAUUAGGGAAGAACAUAUGUGUAAGUAACUGUGCACAUCUUGACGGUACCUAAUCAGAAAGCCACGGCUAACUACGUG
rnacentral:rRNA from 1 species